GGGGGUGCGAGAUCUGGGAAGCUUACAGAGAUAAAGUGGCAGUUUUGCAUUUAACACCAGCAUUUAGCACUAGCUAAUAAGAGCUGCUUGAUUAGAGGGGCGAGGAAGGAAGUGUGUGUGUGUGUGUGGGGGGGAAUUGGCAAGUGCCUCCUUCCAUUUCCCCCCUAUCUAGUUGGUAUGAUCCUUUCCCUCGAAAAGAGAACUUCGGGACCUCUUUCUGCAGUUCAAGCGGAGCAAGAAAAAUGGCGUCGUGCAUCUUUUCCUUGAGUGAGCUUCUUGGCAUGGAAGAAAAGGGUGACAAUCCAGAUUUGUAGCUGGAGCAUCUAGACAGUAGGGUGAAGAAAAGAGACAGGUAGACCCGAGAAAUAGCUGGCACAGCAGCUGCUGAAGCUCACUGUGCUUCUGAACUUCUGAAGAGAAAACCAUUAUCUCCAGGAUGCUUAACAGACAUAUGAAGGCCUCGGGUGCCUGAAGAAUGAUAAAUCCCAGAAUCCCUGGCACAUGAUGCACUGCAUUAAAGACAACAAGAGGGAGAGAGGAAGAAACAGAGAGGCCUCAAGAGAGGACCUCCCAUUACCACAACUGCUUGCCAUCUUGGCCCUCUGAAAAUCUGCUCCUGAGGGCUGGGGAACACCCCAGAACUGCCUAGAGGGUGAUAUGGGAGGCUACAGAGUGAAGGAAGAAUCUGAAGAUUACCUUUCCUGCUUUCCAUCAGCAAACCAAAGACUCUUCUGCAAAUGGAAGGGGCUCCUUCCAUUUGCAUAUUGUGCACCAGUUAUUUUUUUGUACACAAAGAUAUUCUCAAGAACUUCUUCCUGACUGUAAAGCAGUCCUUCUGGAGACGUGCACACAAGCUGAGGAACCAAGAAAAGAUUAAUUCAGAUUACAACUCUCCAGGGGGAGCCCAGGUGAUUUUGGAAGAAUUCAGCCUGCAAUCUGACAUGGAUUUAGUUCUUUUAAAAUGGGUUUCUUAUUUUAAAAAAUACGCAAGGAAAAGAAGAAAUUGGAUUAUUAAAAGAGUAAAAAAAUCAAACAGGAACUUACCUUACAAGAGCAAACCGAACACCUGUCUUUCUUCAGUGUCCAUACCUGGCCAUUCCGUUUCAAGCCUCCUUCAUGUGUGCAGUCACCAGUGCAGGAUGGUCCAGAUGGACAGAGGCAAUCAAAUCCUCCUGCCAGGUUCACACAGGCGGAGUCAUUCCAGCAAGUGUGAGUCCUCAAGGCACAUUCAUCAAUAUCUGCACAAUACAGAAGAGUUUAUUGGGCUUCAGCAAGUUGUGUGAUCCAUAGUUCUUUGGGAACAUCAAGUAUUUACUUGACUGGAUUUGUAGGCCUGCUUUGCUAAGAGCAUAUAUACUUUCUACACCCACACUCUUAAAAUGAUUUCUUUAAAAAGGUUAUUUCUCAAGUUGAAUCAUAACCAAGUAAAAGAAAUAACAACUUUUAGAAACUUCUGUUCUUGCAUUAUUAUAACUCUUCCUAGAUGCUUAAUGGUUAAGAGAUUAUGUUGCCUCUCGAGGGCAUAAAAAUGAUAUAUUAAAAAAAAACA